rnacentral:lncRNA from 1 species
CGCGUCUGAAAAACACCAGGCUCUGAAAGCCGGUACCGCCAACGGUGUCAGGUUUCAAAUCGGGAAGCACCUAUGCGAAGCUUGGGCUAUGAGGAGUUCGAAAAUGCAAAUGCUUUUGCCGAAAACUUAUUGGAAGCCACCGGAUCGAGAACAGAAAGUUUUGGCUCCGGCGAGGCUAUACAUUACUGUCGACGGAGGAAAAACGAUGGGGGAGCUUGUUUCCGACCGGAUUUGUGGAAAAAGGGAGACAGACGGUGUGCUGUGAUGGCAGCGAGGCAGGAGCUUCCUUUCCUGCAACUCGUCGUCGACAGCAAGAAGGAAGAAGAAGGAGGCAACGCCGGCGACAGAUAGGAAGAAGAAGAAGAAAUUCACGGCGGCUAGAAGGUGGCAGCGGCGGUGGAAAAAAG